rnacentral:lncRNA from 1 species
GUGAGUCUGAUGGUGUAAACAAGGGGUGGGAAGCGAGAGAAGCCACAUGAUCUGGACAAGAACACGGUGUGCACACGCUCUGUGAUAAAUACCAGGGCAUCGGACAGUGGAAACAUUUCUACUACUCACCAGCGGGUCCUGGGCCACAAGGAACUGAACCUGCAGCAGCCAUGUGAGCUUGGAAGAGGAUCCUUCCCCCUUCGUGCUUUCGGAUGAGACCUCAGUUCUGAUGACACAGCGCCGACAGCCUCAGCAGAGACCUUGAAGCAGAGCCCCCGGCUAAGUCAUGCCUGGAUUCCUGACCCACAGAGACUGCGAGAUAAUAAAUGUGUGUUCUCUAACCACCA